rnacentral:lncRNA from 1 species
CGUGACCCUCCGUCUUUCUCUUUAAGGGUCUCCUGGAGAAAGCCCUGGAGCAGACACCAGCCCUGGCUCGCUGCAGCCUUCGAGCCCCACUCUCUCCUCUGGACCUCAGUUUCGCCAUCCAUCCAAUGGUGACCACUCAGUCACUGCCAGAUCCUGAGCAGAUCCGUCCUGGCCCUGGGGAGUGGACCAUCAGGGGGCAGGGCUGGCCAGUGAGCAGAGAGCUGGCGGUGACAUGGGCUCAGCACAGAGCACCACGUGGGGCCUGGGAGGAGCCAUGAGAGCCGGCAGCCCUGCCUGUCCUCCAGAUGAAAGCGAGGCCCGCAGCCUGAGAGGGAGGGAGGAGACGCUAAUUACGCCCAGCGCGGGGCUCCCCAGGCAGCCUCAGCCACAGGAUCAAACACCGCCUUCCUCAGCCACGCGCCCGCCCUGCCCUGCAGGAGCAGUCACGGAGCUGCGACACCACCAGAGCUGGGACACCACCAGAGCUGCGAGACCACCAGAGCUGUGACACCACCAGAGCCGGGACACCACCAGAGCCGGGACACCACCAGAGCCGGGACACCACCAGAGCUCCGAGACCACCAGAGCUGCCACACCACCAGAGCUGUGACACCACCAGAGCCGUGACACCACCAGAGCCGGGACACCACCAGAGCCGGGACACCACCAGAGCCGCGAGACCACCAGAGCCGUGACACCACCAGAGCCGGGACACCACCAGAGCUGGGACACCACCAGAGCUGCGAGACCACCAGAGCUGGGACACCACCAGAGCUGCCACACCACCAGAGCUGCGACAGCACCAGAGCCGGGACACCAGCAGAGCCGGGACACCACCAGAGCCGCAACACCACCAGAGCUGCGACACCAGCAGAGCCGCGACACCAGCAGAGCCGGGACACCACCAGAGCCGUGACACCAGCAGAGCCGGGACACCACCAGAGCUGCGAGACCACCAGGGCCGGGACACCACCAGGGCCGGGACACCACCAGAGCUGCGAGACCACCAGGGCCGGGACACCACCAGAGCCGGGACACCACCAGAGCUGCGAGACCACCAGGGCCGUGACACCACCAGAGCCGGGACACCACCAGAGCUGGGACACCACCAGAGCUGCGAGACCACCAGAGCUGGGACACCACCAGAGCUGCCACACCACCAGAGCUGCGACACCAGCAGAGCCGCGACACCAGCAGAGCCGGGACACCAGCAGAGCCGGGACACCACCAGAGCCGUGACACCAGCAGAGCCGGGACACCACCAGGGCCGGGACACCAGCAGAGCCGGGACACCACCAGAGCCGUGACACCAGCAGAGCCGGGACACCACCAGGGCCGGGACACCACCAGAGCUGCGAGACCACCAGGGCCGGGACACCACCAGAGCCGGGACACCACCAGAGCUGGGACACCACCAGAGCUGCGAGACCACCAGAGCCGUGACACCACCAGAGCCGUGACACCAGCAGAGCUGGGACACCACCAGAGCUGUGAGACCACCAGAGCCGGGACACCACCAGAGCCGGGACACCACCAGAGCUGCGAGACCACCAGAGCCGUGACACCAGCAGAGCCGGGACACCACCAGAGCCGGGACACCACCAGAGCCGGGACACCACCAGAGCUCCGAGACCACCAGAGCUGCCACACCACCAGAGCUGUGACACCACCAGAGCUGUGACACCACCAGAGCCGGGACACCACCAGAGCCGGGACACCACCAGAGCUGCGAGACCACCAGAGCUGGGACACCACCAGAGCUGGGACACCACCAGAGCCGGGACACCACCAGAGCUCCGAGACCACCAGAGCUGCCACACCACCAGAGCUGUGACACCACCAGAGCCGGGACACCACCAGAGCCGGGACACCACCAGAGCCGGGACACCACCAGAGCUGUGACACUGUGGCUUCAGUAAAGCUGUUUCUUCUACCACUGGCUUGCCCUUGCAUUCUUUCCUGGGUGAAGCCAAAAACCCAGAGGGCUAAACUCCACUUUCGGGCUCGCCUGCCUGCAUCAUAACCAUCAGGCCUGGAGAGCCGGGUCUCUUGAGAGUAAACUGCCGUGAGAUUCUACAGGAACUCUGCCUCUCCUCUGGGCUGAGCUGUUCUG